rnacentral:lncRNA from 1 species
AAUGGGUGACGGGCACUGGGGGUUAUUCUGUAUGUUAGUAAAUUGAACACCAAUAAAAAAAAAAAAAAAAAAAAAAAAAAAGAAAAAAAAAAAAGGUGCAAGGUUGAGAGAAGACCUCAUUCAUACGCCUUUAUAGAUCAGAUAUCCGGUUAACUCAUGUCUAUGAUCUGCACUAAUGUGCUUCCGUUGGCAUUUUAUUUUCCCCUUUUCAUUUAGGGCGUAACUUUCCAAAGAAGGCUAAAGAUGCCAGCGCUACGGAGCUAACAGCGGCCUCACCAACGAUGAGCCAGACUGUGCCACUAGCCGUGAGAUAAGGUGCUUCACAAAGUGGACGGACGCCGUGGAGACUGGAAACUCUCCUAGGUGGAGAAGAAAGAUCUCCUCCUUUAGUUUCCGUUUUGAAAGAUUCUUGGAGGGAAUUGGGAACUUGAUUGGCCUGACUCAGGUCACGCAUCCAUCUUCCGGACCUUUCACUGUGGCAGAGGAGUCCCGUUCAGACCACGCAGCUAGCGAACGAAAGGGCCCAGCGCCCAGGGGUAGAGGAGCACGGACGUGGUGGGAACUGGUCUAGAACUACAGCCUCGGCCUGGUCAGGAUUCUUCUGCUUGCAACUGUCAGAUUUCAAUCAAGAAAAGUAAAGGGGGGAUCCCUGGGUGGCGCAGCGGUUUGGCUCCUGCCUUUGGCCCAGGGCGCGAUCCUGGAGACCCGGGAUCGAGUCCCACGUCGGGCUCCUGGUGCAUGGAGCCUGCUUCUCCCUCUGCCUAUGUCUCUGCCUCUCUCUCUGUGUGACUAUCAUAAAUAAAUAAAAGUUAAAAAAAAAAAAAAAAAAAAAGAAAAGUAAAGGGGUGAAUGUUGGUGUAACCAGAGAGCAUUUGUAAAGCUGGCCUCGGAAACGAUGGAACCAGGCUCCCUCAUGCUCUCCGUUCCUUUCCCUCUGCUCCCCUCUGCCACUGGCCUCGUUUUCCCAGGUUCCCUUUUCCCGCCAGGCUGGAACCACAGCUCUAAGAACGUCCAGCCUCACGUCUUCCCAGUCUGGCUGUCAGAGAGGAAUGUGCUCUGACCCACAGCUCCAAUAGAGGAUGGGCCCCAGCUUUGGACAGGCCAUCCCCAAGGCCAUCCCCAGCGCCCAUCCCCUGCUCCAAGGCCGGGGAAGAAGGGUCAGGUAAGACAAGGGAAGAGUUCAUUCUGAUGGGAUGGAUAAUUCAAAGAAGGAAUAGUCCUGGGCCCCUGGAUGGCUCAGUGGGUUAAGCAUCUGACUCUUAAUUUUGGCUCAAGUCAUGAUCUCAGCAUCAGGAGAUCAAGCCCCACGUCGGGCCUUGCCCUCAGUGGGGAGUCUGCUUGAAGAUCUCCCCCUCUGCCCCUCCCCUGACACACUCUUUCUCAAAUAAAUAAGUCCUAAAAAAAAAAAAAAAAAAAAAAAAAAGCAGAUCCCCCAAACCACAACUCCACUGUUUUUACAGUCCUAGGAAUUGAGAAAUGACUCACUAGAAUAUGGCCUUGGGUAAAUCACCAAACUUUCUGGCUUCUGGUUUCUUCAUUCAACCAGUUAUUCUUCUAGAACUUACAUUUAUUGAACCUAUUUCAGUGGCUCUCAAACUUCGGGGUACACCAGAAUCACUUUAGGAGUCAUUUUAAAAUCCAGAUUCCCAGGAGGCCCCUGGCUGGCUCAGUGAGUAGAGCAUGCAACUCUUGAUCUCAGGGUUGUAAGUUCAAGUCCCACAUACAGUGAUUACUUGAAAAUAGAAUCUUAAAAACAUAAUAGUAACAUUCAAAAAUAAAAUGCAUAUUCCCAGGCCCAGCCCCAGCCACUGUCUCUGUAGGUCUGAGAUAGGACUCACCAAUCUGCAUUUACUGAAUGAGUCUUAGGCUGGUGGUGCCCAUGCCAUACUUUAAGGAAUAAUGAAUGGGAUGGUUUGAGAUCCUUGCUUAGAUAGUUUGUGAUGUAGGCAAAUACGAGCUGUGUUCUGGUUCAGGAAAGACCAACGUGAGAAGGGAAGGGUUUGGCAUAGCCCAGAAUCAAUUGAAGGGAAGAGCAGCAUCCCCAGGUCAGCUGUGGGCCAGAAUGUGCAGGCAAGGCCUCCUAACUGUGUGUGGAGAAGGUUCUGUUCUGUUCAUAGAAGAUUCUGUUUCCCAAGGGAAACACCCAAAGGUCCCUGGCUGCCUUCAUCCCCAACAGUCCUGGGCCUUUUCAUGCCUCUAGAAGCUCCCCUUGAUGUGCAUUUUUUCUGACCCUGUAUUGAAACAUAAACAAGCGCAGUGGGCAAGAGAACCC